rnacentral:rRNA from 1 species
UGGGACGCCGCAGAGAAAGAAUAUUUCCCUAUGAGAGCCGCACUGCUCACGACGGUGCACGACUAUCUCGGUUACGGAUAUCUCACGGGGCAGGUGGUCCACGGAUUUUCUGGAUGCGUCAGGUGCAUGGAUGACACAACGUAUUGCCAGCUAGAUAGAGAUCCCGGGUCUUUGAAGACCGUGUUCAUGGGACAUCGAAGGUGGCUUCGCGACGAUGACUCAUGGAGAAAACGCAAGGAUCUGUUCGAUGGUGAAACCGAACCCCGAAGACGCCCGCGUACGAGGAGCGGCGAGGAAAUAGACGAGUUGUUGAAAAAUCGGAAAGAUUGCCCACUGCCGGGAAAGAAGCAAAAGGCGCCAGAGCCG